GAGGCGGAGCGCCUGGGGGGAAGGAAGGGGAGAGGCGGCUUCCACGACGGCUUCAGAUGGGCCUCUAUGAAGAUGAGGAGGGUUGGCCGGAUCUGGACCGUGCGUGUAUGAUAGAGAUUAGAGACCCUGCAAAUAUUUCCAUGCUUGAUCCGAUUGAGAGGGUUGCUCUUGGGAUGGUGGGUAGUUCCUCGAAUUCUCCACCAUUGCAAGUUCAAGAGUUUCAGGAUGAGGAGGGAAGAAUAGAAACAAUGGCCGAUGAUCAAAUGUAUUUAAUGUUGGGCUUGGGGAAUGAGGAUGAAAGGGCCAAGAUGGCUGCUCCAGCAAAUGCAACACAGGAAGACCUCCGCGGAAGCCAAGAAAGAAUGUUACCAAAGCACGCCCAACUGAACCGUCCACACCACCAAGGUCCACUGCAGCUCCAGAUGUAAUUUUGCAUGACAGUCCGGGAGUGAUGACAAGAAGGCAACUUGCAAUGAUUCAUGGAGAGAGCAGCACUUCACAAGCUACCAUGGCCAGUUCACCCCAGACUAAGACGGUAACUUCAAAAAAGCUGCUGAUUCGUGGAGAGAGUAGCACUUCACAAGCUACCAUGGCCAGUUCACCCCAGACUAAGAAGCCAACUUCAAAAAAGCUGACACCAAAGAAGAGGAAGAGACAUUAACUUGCAUGUCUGAUGAGAGAAUUUAUUUUGGUCUGUUUGAAUGAAUUGCUCGAGUUUAGUUAUGAAUUAUGUGUUUGAACUAUUCAACCUAGCUGGUUGAGAUGUAUGUCAACUGUGUGUGUGAUAGACUUGUGCUUGCAAGGAUCCGAACAACUUGUGUGUGAAUCCUGUUUCGUUUAUGAACUAGUGUUGCUCUAAUGUAGAUGUUGUAGCGUAGAAAUAUUUUUGUUAAAAUAUCUUGUGGCUGUCGAUUUUGGUUCAGGCGCA